rnacentral:rRNA from 1 species
AGCAGUCGCCGCGGGAAUACAGAGGGUGCGAGCGUUAAUCGGAUUUACUGGGCGUAAAGCGUGCGUAGGCGGCUAAUUGAGUCGGAUGUGAAAUCCCCGAGCUUAACUUGGGAAUUGCAUUCGAUACUGGUUAGCUAGAGUGUGGGAGAGGAUGGUAGAAUUCCAGGUGUAGCGGUGAAAUGCGUAGAGAUCUGGAGGAAUACCGAUGGCGAAGGCAGCCAUCUGGCCUAACACUGACGCUGAGGUACGAAAGCAUGGGGAGCAAACAGGAUUAGAUACCCGAGUAGUUCCUGUCUCUUAUAC